UUAUCUGCCCGGUGAAAAUUUUAACGGCCGCAGUACCUUGACUGUGCAAAGGUAGCAUAAUAAUUUGACUUUUAAAUGGAGCCUAGAAUGAAAGAAUGCACGUAGGUACCUUGUCUCGUUAAUAAUAUUUUUAAUUUACUAAAAGAGUGAAAAUACUGUUAAUUUAAAAAAUAGACGAGAAGACCCUUAGAAUUUUUAAAAUAUUUAAAUAAUUUUUAUAUAUUUUUUUGUUGGGGCAACAAUAUUUCAUUUAAUAAAUAUUCUAUAGUGAUAAUAAAUCGAUUUUAUAGUAAUAACUAAAUUACCUAAGGGAUAACAGCAUAAUUUAAAUAUAAGCUUCUGACCUCGAUGUUGGACUAGGUACUAUUAAGGCUAAUCGUUUUAA
rnacentral:rRNA from 1 species